rnacentral:lncRNA from 1 species
UGCUGCCGUAGGCCCUGCAAGAGUUGACACAGUGACACAGACAUGACACCUGGUCCCCUGUCAGUUCCCUGCCGUUUGUUUUUUUCAACACAUUUGCAUUUUGUUUCUGUGGGGUAAAUACAGGGGGAAGAAAGCACAAAUUCUGACUGCUGGCUGUCAGUACAAACCCCUGCUUUGCUUGCCUGGGUGGGGCUGUGGGAAGUUCCCAGAGGGAUCAUAUCCCCGUGCAGACUGUGUGAGUGGUGUAUGGGAGGACACUGCUGCAUGGGGGCAGGAACAGCUAGGGCAUCUUCUUGACUCCCUGUUUUUGACCUCUCACUGUAUGUGAUGGUUUAGCUUUGUCUGAGACUCCAGUUUGAGUGGGAGAUGUUGCCCAGCAUCCGUGUCAAAGGCCAAGUUCGGCAUUUCUGGAGGAGUAAGGUGCUGUAUUCAUCGGAAAUAUAUCUGAAGGAAUAUUGGUGCAGCUGGGAACGGCUGGCAGGGACAGCAGCUUCUGUCCAAGGUCAUCAGGGACACUCCUGAUGAGGGAUUGUUCUUAUCAGGACUGCUUUGGCUAGGUCGGAUUAGGAAUAAUCACAUGCUUGUUAUUUCCAGAGAAGAUGCCUUGCUGGUUUUCCCAGCAGCAGCCACUAGCAUGCAAGGGGAAGGCUGGGGACAGGCAAGUGUGCUGUUUCACUUCACCAGCAAACACCAUUGUACCAUCACUGACAUGAUGCUCAUCCAGGAGGGUUAGAAUCAUCCUGGAUUGGAUUUUUCAAGUCAACAGCAAGGGAGAAACAGCAUCCAGAGCUGGUUUGGUCCUCAAUGGGUUUCACCUGCUCCUGAAGCUGAGGAGACACGUCUGGAGAGCAGAACUUGCACUGCACAAUGACCGGACUGGCAGGGAUGGGGAGAGCCAGGGCUCCACUCCCUCCCUUGCCAUGGAAAGCAGGUGCUUAGAGAGGAGGAGGGAGGCAAGGGUGGAUAUGGGAGGUUUGCCAGGCACCAAAGCAGCCGGGAGAUCCUGGGGAGGAGACAUGUGGCACGGGUGGGCAGAUUAACAAGCUGAGCCGAUCAAAGGCUGCUCAAUCCUGCAUCCAUGUGCCUGGGC